AUCCAACUGACGAGUCUCAAAUAGGACUAAACGCGCCUGCUGGAU
rnacentral:hammerhead_ribozyme from 1 species